CGCUAGCUACAGGCUUAACACAUGCAAGUCGAGGGGCAGCAUCAUCAAAGCUUGCUUUGAUGGAUGGCGACCGGCGCACGGGUGAGUAACACGUAUCCAACCUGCCGACAACACUGGGAUAGCCUUUCGAAAGAAAGAUUAAUACCGGAUGGCAUAAUUAUUCCGCAUGGGAUAAUUAUUAAAGAAUUUCGGUUGUCGAUGGGGAUGCGUUCCAUUAGGCAGUUGGCGGGGUAACGGCCCACCAAACCUACGAUGGAUAGGGGUUCUGAGAGGAAGGUCCCCCACAUUGGAACUGAGACACGGUCCAAACUCCUACGGGAGGCAGCAGUGAGGAAUAUUGGUCAAUGGACGAGAGUCUGAACCAGCCAAGUAGCGUGAAGGAUGACUGCCCUAUGGGUUGUAAACUUCUUUUAUACGGGAAUAAAGUGAGCCACGUGUGGCUUUUUGUAUGUACCGUAUGAAUAAGGAUCGGCUAACUCCGUGCCAGCAGCCGCGGUAAUACGGAGGAUCCGAGCGUUAUCCGGAUUUAUUGGGUUUAAAGGGAGCGUAGGCGGGUUGUUAAGUCAGUUGUGAAAGUUUGCGGCUCAACCGUAAAAUUGCAGUUGAUACUGGCGACCUUGAGUGCAACAGAGGUAGGCGGAAUUCGUGGUGUAGCGGUGAAAUGCUUAGAUAUCACGAAGAACUCCGAUUGCGAAGGCAGCUUACUGGAUUGUAACUGACGCUGAUGCUCGAAAGUGUGGGUAUCAAACAGGAUUAGAUACCCUGGUAGUCCACACAGUAAACGAUGAAUACUCGCUGUUGGCGAUAUACAGUCAGCGGCCAAGCGAAAGCAUUAAGUAUUCCACCUGGGGAGUACGCCGGCAACGGUGAAACUCAAAGGAAUUGACGGGGGCCCGCACAAGCGGAGGAACAUGUGGUUUAAUUCGAUGAUACGCGAGGAACCUUACCCGGGCUUAAAUUGCAACUGACGGAACCGGAAACGGUUCUUUCUUCGGACAGUUGUGAAGGUGCUGCAUGGUUGUCGUCAGCUCGUGCCGUGAGGUGUCGGCUUAAGUGCCAUAACGAGCGCAACCCUUACGGGUAGUUACCAUCAGGUUAUGCUGGGGACUCUACCCGGACUGCCGUCGUAAGAUGUGAGGAAGGUGGGGAUGACGUCAAAUCAGCACGGCCCUUACGUCCGGGGCUAUACACGUGUUACAAUGGGGGGUACAGAAGGCAGCUACACGGCGACGUGGUGCUAAUCCCAAAAGCCUCUCUCAGUUCGGACUGGAGUCUGCAACCCGACUCCAUGAAGCUGGAUUCGCUAGUAAUCGCGCAUCAGCCACGGCGCGGUGAAUACGUUCCCGGGCCUUGUACACACCGCCCAUCAAGCCAUGAAAGCCGGGGGUACCUGAAGUACGUAACCGCGAGGAGCGUCCUAGGGUAAAACUGGUGAUUGGGG
rnacentral:rRNA from 1 species